CUAGCCGUAAACGAUGGAUACUAGGCGUUGUGAGUAUCGACCCUCACAGUGUCGUAGCUAACGCGUUAAGUAUCCCGCCUGGGGAGUACGCGCGCAAGCGUGAAACUCAAAGGAAUUGACGGGGGCCCGCACAAGCGGUGGAGUAUGUGGUUUAAUUCGAUGCGACGCGAAGAACCUUACCAGGACUUGACAUGUCGCGAAUCUCAGGGAAACUUGAGAGUGCCUUCGGGAGCGCGAACACAGGUGGUGC
rnacentral:rRNA from 1 species